rnacentral:rRNA from 1 species
UACGAAGGGUGCAAGCGUUACUCGGAAUUACUGGGCGUAAAGCGUGCGUAGGUGGUGAGUUAAGUCUGUCGUGAAAGCCCCGGGCUCAACCUGGGAAUGGCGAUGGAUACUGGCUCGCUAGAGUGCGGUAGAGGGUGGUGGAAUUCCCGGUGUAGCAGUGAAAUGCGUAGAGAUCGGGAGGAACAUCAGUUGCGAAGGCGGCCACCUGGACCAGCACUGACACUGAGGCACGGAAAGCGAUGGGGAGCAAACAGG